rnacentral:lncRNA from 1 species
AGUCCAGUGACACAGCUCAAGCAAGAAAAGAGGAAAACAGAAAAUCAGGAAAGGAACAUGGGUACCAAGUUUUGAACUUCUGAAAGAAAGAGAAGCCUUUUUAGGACCUUUAAUUUACAAAAAUGAGCUCUACCCCAGAUACACUUAGCCAAGUUGACCUUGGCUAAGUGUUCGAGCUGCCUUUAAUGAAGAAGGAUGCGUGUUGUAUAUAGAUCUUCCCAAAAAUCCAGGAAAAAGACAGUUGCCCAGUAACAAAGGGCCCAGUUCAGCUUCUCUUGCUCAUGAUAAGCAACAUCCCCUCUUUCAGAUGGUCCUGCUGCUCCCCUCCUCCUACCUGAGUAAGUAAACAUGACGGAACAUGGAUGAAGCACCAGGCAGGGCAGGGCUCUCUGCGGAUGGUCUCUGCAAGGGAGAGGGCCCACAGGGCUCUCUUGUUUACUGGGUAGCUGAUUUCCUGAUAUUUUCCUACAGUCGUCUUUGCUGUACAGUGACAUAUGAGGCAGACACUUGACCUAUGCCUGCUAUUUAAUUAAAUGCACUUCUCCACCUUUCUUCUUUGCGUCUGUGUCAUGAACCGUGUAAGGAUAGACAAAAUACAGUGUUGUUAAUAGGCAAAACUUAUGAAGCUUAAAUGGAAGAUUUGGCUGGUUAUCUUUAAUUAAAUGGGCAUUAAUACCAUGCAACAUCCUAACUCCGAAUGUGAAGGCAUUAAAAUAAUUAACUGGUCUAAUCUAGGUUUAAGAGGCUUGAAAAGUAUCUUGAAAAUAGGUGCCAGCGUGAUAGUAUAUCCCUGUGAAGGUGACCUUAAUGCUGCACAUGGAAGAAACAUGCAAGCAUCCAGUCCUUUUGGAAUAACUGAUAUUCCAGCUAAAUGUGUGGGUUGCUCUCAAACCUACAAGGAGGUAUUGGAAACUCUGGAAGAAACAGGAAGGUCUUUCAAUGCCCUUUGGCCUUCUUUCUGCUAA